GGCUUGAUGGUAUAAUGGGAUUACGCACAGCAUUGAAUUUUAUGCGCUGUGAGAUACGAGUUCGAUCCUCGUUCGAGCCC
rnacentral:tRNA from 1 species